rnacentral:rRNA from 1 species
GGAUGAACGCUGGCGACGUGGAUAAGGCAUGCAAGUCGAACGAGGCCUAGAGCCGAGUGGCAGACGAGGUAGUAACACGUGGGAACCAACCCUUAAGUCAGGAAUAACUACAGGAAACUGUAGCUAAUACUUGAUAGUCUCUUCGGAGUAAAGUUUUAACGCUUAAGGAUGGGCCUGCGGGGUAUCAGCUUGUUGGUAGUGUAAUGGACUACCAAGGCAAUGACGCCUAGGGGAGGUGAGAGCCUGACCCCCACCGAUGGAACUGAGACACGGUCCAUACACCUACGGGUGGCCGCAGUCGAGAAUCUUCCGCAAUGGACGAAAGUCUGACGGAGCGACGUCGCGUGGUUGAUGAAGCACUUCGGUGUGUAAAAACCUUUUAUGAGGGAGGAAGUUUAUUGACGUUACCUCAUGAAUAAGGGGCUCCUAAACUCGUGCCAGCAGGAGCGGUAAUACGAGUGCCCCAAGCGUUAUCCGGAAUCACUGGGCGUAAAGAGUCUGUAGGCGGUUGUAUUAGUCUUUUGUUAAAUCCUUGGGCUUAACCCAAGAACCGCAAAGGAAACGGUGCAACUAGAGAGUGUGAGAGGUGAAUGGAACUCACGGUGUAGGGGUGAAAUCCGUUGAUAUCGUGGGGAACACCAAAUGCGAAGGCAAUUCACUGGCACAUUUCUGACGCUGAGAGACGAAACCCUGGGUAGCGAAUGGGAUUAGAUACCCCAGUAGUCCAGGGCGUAAACGUUGUCCGCUAGCUUUUUGGAGUAUCGACCCUCUGAGAGGCGAAGCUAACGCGAUAAGCGGACCGCCUGGGUAGUACGAGCGCAAGCUUAAAACUCAAAGGAAUAGACGGGGGCUCGCACAAGCGGUGGAUUAUGUGGUUUAAUUCGAUGAUAAGCGAAGAACCUCACCGAGGCUAGAAACUUAGUCGACGAUUUUCCGAAAGGAAAAUUUUCUUCGGACGGCUAAGCAGGUGUUGCAUGGUUGUCGUCAGUUCGUGGCUUGAGCUGUUCCCUUAAGUGGGCAAACGAACGCAACCCUCGUUAUCUGUUACAAGUGUCAGGUAAGACUGCCC